ensembl:lncRNA C1RL-AS1 C1RL antisense RNA 1
CUGUACCUACAAGGUCUCCCCGAUUCUCAUCUGCCCAUAAUCAUGGACACAGCCCCAGGAUGUGCAGGGUCGAGCUCCCACCCUCUUGGAAAUGCCUCUGAAGCUGCAUAGUCCUCCCCUGAUGCUUGUGCUCCCUUAGGGGAUCUCCAGGCCUUUGGGUGUGGUCUGGCCCCUGGAGAAGUGUGGUCGAGUGGAGGAUGGGGUCCUGCAGUGGCCAUGUUCUGGACGCCCACAUCACGGGGAGUUUUGAGGGAUUGAGCCCACUUUAGCUUGGGUCUUAAAACCACCAUGGUAAGAAGUGUCAACCUUUGGGGGAAAAAUAAAA